UAAAGGAUUAAUCUGGCCCAGAUGUUAGC
rnacentral:piRNA from 1 species